rnacentral:lncRNA from 1 species
AAAGGUUUUUACGAGCUUGGGGCAUGGUGAAAAGAAGUACUUUAGGACAGAAAAACUCUAUUCCUUGAGGAACCUUAUCUCAGAUGGGUACGCGCCAGAGCUUGUGAGCUUAUCAUGCCAUAUCAUGCAAUCGGAUCUCUGAUUGUUGAACCAAAAGUUGAAGGAGGUACCCCUCAGAUCAUUCCUUAUCCAGAUAUGCC